AAUAAAGAAAUCCGAAGACCAAAAUACUCGACCGGAGAACCUCGAUCGCGAUGAAUCCAACUCGGUAGAGAGAAAAGCUAAUAAGACAACUUCAAAACCAGUGAGACAAACUUUACUAUACGAAACCCAACCAAGAACAACGAUAUGAUUCGAUAAAGACGACUCGAAAUCCACUAUCGACGACGAACCAAGAAAUAGACGAAACCAAGAUCAACCAACAAAC
rnacentral:lncRNA from 1 species